rnacentral:rRNA from 1 species
GACGAACGCUGGCGGCGUGCUUAACACAUGCAAGUCGAACGGAAAGGCCCUGCUUUUGUGGGGUGCUCGAGUGGCGGACGGGUGAGUAACACGUGAGUAACCUGCCCUUGACUUUGGGAUAACUUCAGGAAACUGGGGCUAAUACCGGAUAGGAGCUCCUGCUGCAUGGUGGGGGUUGGAAAGUUUCGGCGGUUGGGGAUGGACUCGCGGCUUAUCAGCUUGUUGGUGGGGUAGUGGCUUACCAAGGCUUUGACGGGUAGCCGGCCUGAGAGGGUGACCGGCCACAUUGGGACUGAGAUACGGCCCAGACUCCUACGGGAGGCAGCAGUGGGGAAUAUUGCACAAUGGGCGGAGGCCUGAUGCAGCAACGCCGCGUGCGGGAUGACGGCCUUCGGGUUGUAAACCGCUUUCGCCUGUGACGAAGCGUGAGUGACGGUAAUGGGUAAAGAAGCACCGGCUAACUACGUG